GACGAACGCUGGCGGCGUGCCUAAUACAUGCAAGUAGAACGCUGAAGAGAGGAGCUUGCUCUUCUUGGAUGAGUUGCGAACGGGUGAGUAACGCGUAGGUAACCUGCCUGGUAGCGGGGGAUAACUAUUGGAAACGAUAGCUAAUACCGCAUAAAAUGGAUUAUCGCAUGAUAAUCCAUUGAAAGGUGCAAAUGCAUCACUACCAGAUGGACCUGCGUUGUAUUAGCUAGUUGGUGGGGUAACGGCUCACCAAGGCGACGAUACAUAGCCGACCUGAGAGGGGGAUCGGACACACUGGGACUGAGAAACGGCCCAGAAUCCUUCGGGAGGGAGCAGGAGGGAAUCUUCGGGAAUAGACGGAAGGCUGAACGGGCAACGCCGGGGGGGGGGAGAAGGGUUUCGGAUCGUAAAGCUCUGUUGUAAGGGAAGAACGAGUGGGAGAGUGGAAAGUGCACGCUGUGACGGUAUCUUACCAGAAAGGGACGGCUAACUACGUG
rnacentral:rRNA from 1 species